rnacentral:misc_RNA from 1 species
CCGAGUGUGGGCCGCUCCGGCGCCCGACCUCAAACCCUUUGCGUGACCAAAACCUCUGUUGCCUCGGGGGCGACCCGGCCCUUGUGGGAUCGGAGCCCCCGGUGGACCGCACAACCAAACUCUGCAUCCGUGCGUCUGAGUGAGGAAGCGAAAUUGAAUCA